AAGAUUUUAAGUUAAUUAAACUAGUAGCCUUCAAAGUUAUAAAUAAGAGUUCAAUCUUUUAAAUCUUA
rnacentral:tRNA from 1 species